rnacentral:rRNA from 1 species
GACGAACGCUAGCUACAGGCUUAACACAUGCAAGUCGAGGGACCGGCGCACGGGUGAGUAACACGUAUCCAACCUGCCCUUUACUCGGGGAUAGCCUUUCGAAAGAAAGAUUAAUACCAGAUAUAAAGGAUGGGGAUGCGUUCCUUUAGGUUGUUGGUGAGGUAACGGCCCACCAAGCCUUCGCUGGAUGGGGGGUCUGAGGGGAAGGUCCCCGACAGUGGAGCUGAGACCCGGACUAAAGUGGUACGUGUGGCAGCAGUGUCGAAUAUUGGUCAAUCGGGGGUGGCCUGAGCCAGCCGCGUAGCGUGAAGGAUGAUGGGUUAUGUGUCGUAAACCUCGCGUGUAUGAGAAGAUGUUUUUCAUGCAUAGGGAUCGGCUCACUCCGUGCCAGCAGCCGCGGUAAUAC